rnacentral:rRNA from 1 species
AACGAACGCUGGCGGCAGGCCUAACACAUGCAAGUCGAGCGCGCCCUCCGGGGUGAGCGGCGGACGGGUGAGUAACGCGUGGGAACGUGCCCUUUUCUACGGAAUAGCCUCGGGAAACUGAGAGUAAUACCGCAUACGCCCUUUGGGGGUAAGAUUUACUGGAAAAGGAUCGGCCCGCGUUGGAUUAGGUAGUUGGUGGGGUAAUGGCCUGCCAACCCGACGUUCCAUAGCUGGUUUGUGAGGAGGAUCCGCCACACUUGGACUGAGACACGGCCCAGACUCCGACGGGAGGCAGCAGUAGAGAAUAUUAGACAAGGGAGGCAACUCUGAUCUAGCCAUGCGGCGUGAGUGAUGAAGGCCGUAGGGUUGUAAAGCUCUUUCAGCUGAGAAGAUAAUGACGGUACCAGCAGAAGAAGCCCCGGCUAACUCCGUG